AGAUACCCGGGUAGUCCUAGCUGUAAACGAUGGAUACUAGAUGUAGGAACUGGAUUGACGGUUUCUGUAUCGUAGCUAACGCGUUAAGUAUCCCGCCUGGGGAGUACGGUCGCAAGACUAAAACUCAAAGGAAUUGACGGGACCCCGCACAAGCGGCGGAGCAUGCGGCUUAAUUCGAUGAUACCCGUAGAACCUUACCUGGACUUGACAUAUAGGGAAAAACUGGAGAAAUCCAGUGUGCGUAAGCGCCCUAUACAGGUGGUGCAUGGCCGCCGUCAG
rnacentral:rRNA from 1 species